rnacentral:lncRNA from 1 species
CAAAUAUCCAUCAAUACUGUGGAUACAUUCACAGAAAUAUGGGAAGGACAAUACCUGGUGUUCGGAAGAGUGAAUGGUGAAUGGAUUGAAAUCCAGCUGGUGACCAGUCACCAGUGGUGUUCCCCAGGAGUCAGUGUUGGGGCCCAUCCUCUUUAAUACCUUUGAUGAUUUUGAUGAGGAAAUUGAGUGUACCCUCAGUAAGUAUGCAGAUGACACCAAGUUGGGGGGAAGUAUCAAUCUGCCAGAGGGUAGAAAGGCCCUGCAGAGGGACCUGGACAGGUUGGAUUGAUGGGUGGUUCACCAUGGCUAAUGGCCAAAUCCUGCUCUUUGGUCACAACAACCCCAAGCAAUGCUACAGGCUUGGGGCAGAGUGGCUGGAAAGCUGUGCAGAGGGAAAGGAUCUCGGGGUGCUGAUUGAUAGUCACCUGAACAUGAGCUGGCAGUGUGCCCAGGUGGCCAAGAAGGCCAAUGGCAUCCUGGCUUGUAUCAGGAAUAGUGCAGCCAGCAGGACCAGGGAGGUGAUCAUCCCCCUGUACUCUGCUCUUGUGAGGCCACACCUCAAGUACUGUGUUAAGUUUUGGGCCCCUCACUACAAGAAGGACAUCAAGGCCCUGAAGCAUGUCCAGAGAAGGGCUAUGAAGCUGGUGAAGGGCCUGGGACACAAGUCCUGUGAGGAGUGGCUGAGGGAACUGGGGUUGUUUAGUCUGGAGAAGAGGAGGUUCAGGGGAGACAUUAUUGCUCUCUACAACUAUCUGAAAGGAAGCUGUGGGGAGCUGGGGGUUGGUCUCUUCUCACAGGUAAGUAGUGAUAGGACUAGGGGGAAUAGCCUCAAGUUGUGCCAGGGGAGGUUUAGGUUGGAAAUUAGGAGACAUUUCUUCUCAGAAGGAGCAGUCAGGCAUUGGAACAAGUUGCCCAGGGAGGUGGUGGAGUCACUGUUCCUGGGGGUGUUCAAAGAAAGGUUGGAUGCAGUUGUUAGAGCAAUGGUCAUAUUGGUGGUAGGGGGAUGGUUGGAGCAGGUGAUCUUAGAGGUCUUUUCCAAUUUUAAUGAUUCUAUGAGCCUGUGAUUCUAUGAUAAGAAGCACACUGGGUACAGAAUUGAGUCUUCUAGGCUCAUGAUACAUAAGCUUUUUCUCAUGGAAAACAAAGUUUAUUUGUUUGUUUGUUUGUUUUUCCAAGUGGUCUUGG